GUCUAAUGCGUCCAUAUCCAGGCCGAUUUUUACCUCAGAUUAAAAGGAUUUUUAAUUAUAGGUUGUCUAGAGGAAGAAGGGUUGUAGAAAAUGCUUUCGGUAUAUUGUCAGCAAAAUGGAGAGUUUAUCGAAAACCAAUCAUUGCACAAGAAGAAACUGUUCGUAGCAUUGUUAAGGCCACUGUUUGUCUUCAUAACUUUUUAAUUGGUGCAGAGAAAAAAUAUGUGUCUCCGACUCUUGUGGAUAGAGAAGAUAUUGAAGGGCAACAAAUUGACGGGGAAUGGCGUAACUAUGCUACCUCGAAUCUUCCCAAUAUCAGAAGAACUAGUACUAAUAUGUAUGGACGGACAGCAGAUAUAAUGAGGAAUAAAUUAGCUACAUUCUUCUGCAAUGAAGGAGCUGUACCAUUUCAAUGGGCAAAAUAAUAAUAAUCUAUUAUAAAAUUCUUUAUCUUUAUUAAACAGCACUUUAUAUAAUGGUAAUAAUUAUUA